CUCACCUUAGCUCAGAUGGAAGAGCGCGACCUUACGAACGUCGAGGUCGCAGGUUCGAUCCCUGCAGGUGGGUCCA
rnacentral:tRNA from 1 species